GAUGAACGCUAGCGAUAGGCUUAACACAUGCAAGUCGAGGGGUAACGUGUUGGAAGCUUGCUUCCGAUGACGACGACCGGCGGAUGGGUGCGUAACGCGUAUGCAACUUGCCUCACAGUGGAGAAUAACCCGGAGAAAUCCGGACUAAUACUCCAUACACUCUUAAGUACGCCGGUACAUGAGAGGAAAGAUUUAUCGCUGUGAGAUAGGCAUGCGUCCUAUUAGGUAGUUGGGGAGGUAACGGCUCACCAAGCCGACGAUAGGUAGGGGUGCUGAGAGGCAGCUCCCCCACAUUGGGACUGAGCCACGGCCCAAACUCCUACGGGCGGCAGCAGUGAGGAGUAUUGGUCGAUGGAGGAAACUCUGAACCAGCCAAGUCGCGUGAAGGAAGAAUGUCCUAAGGAUUGUAAACUUCUUUAGCGAGCGAGUAAGGACUUCCACGUGAUGGGAGUUUGACAGUAGCUCGAGAAUAAGUAUCGGCUAACUCCGUG
rnacentral:rRNA from 1 species